AUUGAACGCUGGCGGCAGGCCUAACACAUGCAAGUCGAGCGGAUGAAGGGAGCUUGCUCCUGGAUUCAGCGGCGGACGGGUGAGUAAUGCCUAGGAAUCUGCCUGGUAGUGGGGGAUAACGUCCGGAAACGGGCGCUAAUACCGCAUACGUCCUGAGGGAGAAAGUGGGGGAUCUUCGGACCUCACGCUAUCAGAUGAGCCUAGGUCGGAUUAGCUAGUUGGUGGGGUAAAGGCCUACCAAGGCGACAAUCCGUAACUGGUCUGAGAGGAUGAUCAGUCACACUGGAACUGAGACACGGUCCAGACUCCUACGGGAGGCAGCAGUGGGGAAUAUUGGACAAUGGGCGAAAGCCUGAUCCAGCCAUGCCGCGUGUGUGAAGAAGGUCUUCGGAUUGUAAAGCACUUUAAGUUGGGGGGAAGGGCAGUAAGUUAAUACCUUGCUGUUUUGACGUUACCAACAGAAUAAGCACCGGCUAACUUCGUG
rnacentral:rRNA from 1 species